CAAAGUGAAAGAUACAUAAAUCAUGACAGACAUGCAAAUGUCAUGUACUAUUUUCUUAUUGUAGAACUCUCCACUGCUGUAGGUUGUGGCCAGUGUGGACGAACACUCUUCCAGGCACCAAGGCUUCUUUCCACUUUCGGCUGUGCUGGGGAUGGAGAUGGUGUAGAUGCUGUUAGUGUAGCCAUCACAGGAGUAGUGAUCUUUCCUUCUUCCGCCAUUUCCUGAUGCCCAGACAAAAACAGAGCCGAGGCUUCUCCACCCCUGUUCACAAAGAGAAGAAGUUAAAUGGUGGAAGACAAGGAUCACAGACUCUAGGUGAAGACAAGAUCAAAACCAACAGAGCAGAAUCAAAUAUUUGCAAGAGAGGGGGAUGCUAUUUUAAUAACUUGCUGGAUUUAAGAAAGAUUCAGCUGGCUUACAACUUCACAAGACAUCGUCAGAGUAGUUAAGGAAACUGAGGCUUCAGCUGCUUUGAAGAUGGCCCUUUGCCCCAGGUGACCAGCAGGAAGGAGGUGAGGGGAAGCUCAACCAGAGCUGACCCCCCGGAGGGCAGAGGGAGCAGCAGCCUCGCUCUCUGACCAAGAACAGCACCAGGCCCAGUUAUCAACAGCUUCGAAUUAUACCUCGCCCACCUCCUCACCUUCCAAGGAGCCCCAGAACCUUCCAAAUCUUCCUGCAGGUGUAAAUGUGGAAAACUCUCCUCCUGAAGGCUUCAGCCCUAAGAUAUGUCAGAGCAGCCUCUUCAACUCUCAGAGAUCCAUCCGUGACCCUAGUUCUCAACAUUCCCUUUAAACAGCUGCAUAAACUUGAGUGGCAAACUUUAUCACUUUCAUUUUAUCUAAGUUACAUUUGGGUAUAUUUGUUGAAUUUGAAAUCAUCACCCAAGCCUAGAAUGAAGGAAUUCUCUAUGUAAUGACACAGAAAACGGGUUUUGAGAUGAAACAGCAUCCAGAGAUGAGCUGUACUUCAGUCUGCAUGGAAUAAACCAACUAAAAAAACAAGCCUCCAAAAUACUGUAAGUGUGCACUGGGAAAAUCUGAGAAGUGCACGCCCAAAACUCUGCAGUGAUCAUCUUUUUGUUUGGGGGAGGGAUAUUUAUUCUAACACUGUUGUGAUGUUUGAAUUUUUUAUUUUCACUUCAGAAAUUUGUUUUAAAUUGCAAAUUGAGAUAAAAUGGCCCCAAUCCUCCAAAGUAAGCUCCAGUUAAAUAUGUUUGCACAGCGUUAUAGUAAAGAUAGUUUCCAACCGAACAAAAAGCCCCUCACAGUCCCAGCUCUGUUACACCUCGUUCUCAUGUUCCCGUCUGAUGCCUGUCUGCGGACACCGCUGACUCACAUUGUGCUCAGGUGUAAUCGCAGCUGGGAUUCCAUUUUCUAUUCUGCUUUUUUCACUUAAUAGACGUCAAAGAAUCUUCAUUGUUUUUGCCACAGUUAGUUUGUGCCUCAUGGUUGGAUACUAAGGGUAUUUCCAAAUUAUAUUGUUAUAAACGUGAGCUACGAACACUUUUGAAUAUACUCAUAGCUUUGCUUUCU